UUUUUUUUUUGCUUCUUCGCUCUCUCUCUCUCUCUCUCGCGACGAAGAGUUGCGAAAUUGAUUGAGGUUUUUCUCAAUGAUCUGUUGGAAGUGGAGUAGAUCGAUUCGGGUUUUGGUGACUUUUAUCUGUUCUCGGCCUUUAAGCUCAUCCUCCCCACCGAUGGCGGAUCUCAACGGCGAUUCUCUGUGAGUUAAUCGACAAGUUGGUUGGAUGAAAUCGGAGACCACCAAGUCGUAGCCUUUCCUUCACCAAUCUCUUUCUCAUGAACUGGGCAGUUCAUAGAAGUGGCUAUAUAUAUAUAUAUAUAUAUAUCUCGGUUUCUGCUUAUAGCUCAUCAUGGUGCUGGUGUUAGUUUAGGUGUCAAUAUGUCUAUCUAUCCUAUAUGGGCUGAAGGUUGUGUGAAUGGAUACCUCCGCUGUGUUGAAUACGAGAGAAUCCCAUCCAAAAUUUGGCCUUCUGAUCUCAUGAUUUUGUUAUAUGUGACAUUUAUAAUGUUAGGGUGGUCCAUUGGGUGGUUACGGUGUUCCUCCCCUUGAUUUGUUAUAUAUGUGACAGUACCAAGUAUAUUCAGAUCAAAAACGGUUGCCGGAGGGCGUUCUUAAAGUAACAACAACAUCAAACUAAUCGAUUAAAAGGUGUGUGUGCGUGUUCGUGUUCUAACUCUCAUUUGGAUAUUUUUGCUUUACUC